ACUGGGAGUAAUACCGGAUAAGCCCUACGGGGGAAAGAUUUAUCGGGAAGGGAUCGGCCCGCGUUGGAUUAGGUAGUUGGUGGGGUAAUGGCCUACCAAGCCGACGAUCCAUAGCUGGUUUGAGAGGAUGAUCAGCCACACUGGGACUGAGACACGGCCCAGACUCCUACGGGAGGCAGCAGUGGGGAAUCUUAGACAAUGGGGGAAACCCUGAUCUAGCCAUGCCGCGUGAUCGAUGAAGGCCUUAGGGUUGUAAAGAUCUUUCAGAUGGGAAGAUAAUGACGGUACCAUCAGAAGAAGCCCCGGCUAACUCCGUGCCAGCAGCCGCGGUAAUACGGAGGGGGCUAGCGUUAUUCGGAAUUACUGGGCGUAAAGCGCACGUAGGCGGAUCAGAAAGUCAGAGGUGAAAUCCCGGGGCUCAACCCCGGAACGGCCUUUGAAACUCCUGGUCUUGAGGUCGAGAGAGGUGAGUGGAAUUCCGAGUGUAGAGGUGAAAUUCGUAGAUAUUCGGAGGAACACCAGUGGCGAAGGCGGCUCACUGGCUCGAUACUGACGC
rnacentral:rRNA from 1 species